rnacentral:rRNA from 1 species
UUCCGGUUGAUCCUGCCGGAGGCGACCGCUUUUGGAGUUCGAUUAAGCCAUGCGAGUAGAAAGAAAUUAGAUUCUUUGCGAACCGCUCAGUAACACGUGGAUAACCUGCCCUAUGCUCUGGAAUAACCUCGGGAAACUGAGAAUAAUACCGGAUAGAUCACAACGCCUGGAACGGUGUGUGGUUGAAAGAUUACGGCAUAGGAUGGGUCUGCGGCGUAUCAGGUUGUAGGGGGUGUAACGGACCUCCUAGCCAUCGACGCGUACGGGUGUUGGGAGACAUAGCCCGGAGAUGGAUUCUGAGACACGAAUCCAGACCCUACGGGGUGCAGCAGGCGCGAAAACUUCACACUGCAGGAAACUGUGAUGAGGGAACUCCAAGUGCGUGCACUUAGUGUGCGCUUUUGUUGACUAUUAAUCGGUCAAUGAAUAAGGGCUGGGAAAGACCGGUGCCAGCCGCCGCGGUAAUACCGGCAGCUCGAGUGGUCGUCGCUUUUAUUGGGCCUAAAACGUCCGUAGCCUGUUUGGUAAAUCUGUGGGUAAAUCAACCAGCUUAACUGGUUGAAUUCUGCAGAGACUGCCAGACUAGGGACCGGGAGAGGUGUGGGGUACUCUAGGGGUAGGGGUAAAAUCCUGUCAUCCUUAGAGGACCACCAGUUGCGAAGGCGCCACACUGGAACGGAUUCGACGGUCAGGGACGAAGCCUAGGGGCACGAACCGGAUUAGAUACCCGGGUAGUCCUAGGUGUAAACGCUGUGAACUUGGUGUCGGGGAUCCGUCAUGGGUCCCCGGUGCCGGAGUGAAGAUGUUAAGUUCACUGCCUGGGGAGUACGGUCGCAAGGCUGAACUUAAAGGAAUUGGUGGGGGGAGCACUGCAACGGGAGGAGCGUGCGGUUUAUUGGAUUCAACGCCGGG